CAGUCGCCACGGGAAUACGUAGGGUGCAAGCGUUAAUCGGAAUUACUGGGCGUAAAGCGUGCGCAGGCGGUUUGUUAAGACAGAUGUGAAAUCCCCGGGCCCAACCUGGGAACUGCAUUUGUGACUGGCAAGCUAGAGUGUGGCAGAGGGGGGUGGAAUUCCGCGUGUAGCAGUGAAAUGCGUAGAUAUGCGGAGGAACACCGAUGGCGAAGGCAGCCCCCUGGGCCAACGCUGACGCUCGUGCACGAAAGCGUGGGGAGCAAACAGGAUUAGAGACCCGGGUAGUCCCUGUCUCUUAUAC
rnacentral:rRNA from 1 species